rnacentral:rRNA from 1 species
UACGGGGGGGGCAAGCGUUGUUCGGAAUUACUGGGCGUAAAGGGCGUGUAGGCGGCCAACUAAGUCGGAUGUGAAAUCCCCAGGCUCAACCUGGGAACUGCAUCCGAUACUGGAUGGCUUGAAUUCGGGAGAGGGAUGCAGAAUUCCAGGUGUAGCGGUGAAAUGCGUAGAUAUCUGGAGGAAUACCGGUGGCGAAGGCGGCAUCCUGGACCGACAUUGACGCUUAAGCGCGAAAGCUAGGGGAGCAAACGGG